rnacentral:rRNA from 2 species
GCUCCCUGAUGUUAGCGGCGGACGGGUGAGUAACACGUGGGUAACCUGCCUGUAAGACUGGGAUAACUCCGGGAAACCGGGGCUAAUACCGGAUGGUUGUUUGAACCGCAUGGUUCAAACAUAAAAGGUGGCUUCGGCUACCACUUACAGAUGGACCCGCGGCGCAUUAGCUAGUUGGUGAGGUAACGGCUCACCAAGGCAACGAUGCGUAGCCGACCUGAGAGGGUGAUCGGCCACACUGGGACUGAGACACGGCCCAGACUCCUACGGGAGGCAGCAGUAGGGAAUCUUCCGCAAUGGACGAAAGUCUGACGGAGCAACGCCGCGUGAGUGAUGAAGGUUUUCGGAUCGUAAAGCUCUGUUGUUAGGGAAGAACAAGUACCGUUCGAAUAGGGCGGUACCUUGACGGUACCUAACCAGAAAGCCACGGCUAACUACGUGCCAGCAGCCGCGGUAAUACGUAGGUGGCAAGCGUUGUCCGGAAUUAUUGGGCGUAAAGG